GCGAUCGCCAGGGAAGGCGGAAUCGGNNUCCGGAGCCGGGAGCGCAGGUUCGAGUCCUGCUAGGCGCACCA
rnacentral:tRNA from 1 species